CCCACCGUAGCUCAACGGUAGAGUGCACGGCUGUAGCCCGUGAGGUUCCCGGUUCAAAUCCGGGUGGUGGGA
rnacentral:tRNA from 1 species